AACUUUUAGCAACGGAUCACUUGGCUCUCGCAUCGAUGAAGAACGCAGCGAAAUGCGAUAAGUAAUGUGAAUUGCAGAAUUCAGUGAAUCAUCGAAUCGUUGAACGCACCUUGCGCCCUUUGGCUAUUCCGAAGGGCAUGCCUGUUUGAGCAUCAUAAACAUCUCAACUCUCAUGGUUUUCCAUGAGGAGGUUGGACUUUGGGGGUCUUGUUGGCUUGUGUUCCGCUCCCCUCAAAUCUAUCAGCUUUCCAGUGUUUCGCAGCGUCACCGGUUUGAUAAAUAUCUACGCUUGUGGUUCUUUGCCCAGUCUGUCCUCUCCUUGUGGAGGGCUCACUGGAGCUCAUAGAUGUCUCUCCUUGGUGGAGACAGCUGUUUGAAGUUUGGUCUCAAAUCAGGUAGGAUUACCCGCUGAACUUAAGCAUAUCAAUAAGCGGAGGCC
rnacentral:misc_RNA from 1 species